rnacentral:rRNA from 1 species
UACAGAGGGGGCAAGCGUUGUUCGGAAUUACUGGGCGUAAAGCGCAUGUAGGCGGAUCGAUAAGUCGGGCGUGAAAUCCCCAGGCUCAACCUGGGAACUGCGCUCGAAACUGUAGGUCUUGAGUGUCGGAGAGGAUGGCGGAAUUCCUGGUGUAGAGGUGAAAUUCGUAGAUAUCAGGAGGAACACCGGUGGCGAAGGCGGCCAUCUGGACGACAACUGACGCUGAGAUGCGAAAGCGUGGGGAGCAAACAGG